rnacentral:rRNA from 1 species
CCACCACUAAGCCAGUGGUGAACUCCACAUACGCAUCCUUUGCUGAGGAUACGGUUAACGGAGCGAAAGCGACGUUCAACCGCAAAAGAAGCAGAGGGGGCUUAGUGGUGGGGUGACUGCGUACCUUUUGUAUAAUGGGUCAGCGACUUAUAUUCUGUAGCAAGGUUAACCGAAUAGGGGAGCCGGAGGGAAACCGAGUCUUAACCGGGCGUUAAGUUGCAGGGUAUAGACCCGAAACCCGGUGAUCUAGCCAUGGGCAGGUUGAAGGUUGGGUAACACUAACUGGAGGACCGAACCGACUAAUGUUGAAAAAUUAGCGGAUGACCUGUGGCUGGGGGUGAAAGGCCAAUCAAACCGGGAGAUAGCUGGUUCUCCCCGAAAGCUAUUUAGGUAGCGCCUCGUGAAUUCAUCUCCGGGGGUAGAGCACUGUUUCGGCUAGGGGGCCAUCCCGGCUUACCAACCCGAUGCAAACUGCGAAUACCGGAGAAUGUUAUCACGGGAGACACACGGCGGGUGCUAACGUCCGUCGUGAAGAGGGAAACAACCCAGACCGCCAGCUAAGGUCCCAAAGUCAUGGUUAAGUGGGAAACGAUGUGGGAAGGCCCAGACAGCCAGGAUGUUGGCUUAGAAGCAGCCAUCAUUUAAAGAAAGCGUAAUAGCUCACUGGUCGAGUCGGCCUGCGCGGAAGAUGUAACGGGGCUAAACCAUGCACCGAAGCUGCGGCAGCGACACUAUGUGUUGUUGGGUAGGGGAGCG